UCCUGCUCAGUGCCAAUAAACAGCCGCAGAAUUUUAUACUGUGCUAAGGUAGCAUAAUCAUUUGUCUUUUAAUUUAAGAAUAGUAUGAACGGAAAAACGAAUUUUAAUCUGUAUCAUUUUUAAUUAAUAAAAUUACUAAAAAGUAAAAACACUUUUUCAAAAAAAAAAGACGAUAAGACCCUAAAGAACUUAACUUAAGUUCAGCUGGGGCGGCAUUUUAAAAAAAUCUUAAAUUAAUCAUAAUUAACCUAGCUCUAUUUCUAAGUUACCUUAGGGAUAACAGCAUAAUUUAAUUUUACAGCUCUUAUUUAAAAUUAAGAUUAUGACCUCGAUGUUGAAUUAAAUAUCUCUUAACCGAAAAAAAUUAACAAGAUAGUCUGUUCGACUAUUAAACAUUUACAUGAUUUGAGUUCAGACCGGUGAAAACCAGGUCGGUUUCUAUCUUUUUCUAAAAUACUCCAGUACGAAAGGACCGUAUAAUUUAUUCAAAAU
rnacentral:rRNA from 1 species